UACGUAGGGGACGAGCGUUGUCCGGAGUUACUGGGCGUAAAGCGCCCGCAGGCGGUCCGCUCAGUUUGCGCUGACAGCUCCUGGCUUAACUGGGAGAGCGGUGCGAAGACGGGCGGACUGAGAGGACCAGAGAGAGACAUGGAACUCCGGGUGUAGUGGUGAAAUGCGUAGAUAUCCGGAAGAACACCAAAGGCGAAGGCAGUGUCCUGGCUGGUACCUGACGCUGAGGGGCGAAAGCUAGGGGAGCGAACGGG
rnacentral:rRNA from 1 species